GACGCGCGUGCGCUUCUCUCCCUCCUCCCCCCCCAAGGGGGCGGAGCCGAGGAUCAAAAGCUGGAGGCGGGGCUUGGAGGGGAGGAGGGAGGAGAGAGUCGCGAGCCCAAAAGCAAAACAAAGCUGAAGCGGCGCGAGGGAAGGAGGGCGAGCAACGGCCGCCCGCCCGCGAAGGAGGGAGACGGAGGGCGGGAGCAUGAGGGGGCUUGAGGGAGUUCCGUGUGGGGAGAGAGGCCUCCGCGGCGGCAGGGAUGGCCCCCAGGCUGGACGAGGAGGAGGAGCUGGAGAGCCCCCCUUGCUUCUCCCGUCCCCCUUUUCGUCAGAAGGAGGUCCCUCCCUCCCCUUUAUUUCCCCUGAAGGGAGGCCGAGGCAAGCUCCUUGAAAGCCAGAGCCGCCUCACUAGGGUCGCAUGAAAGCAGCACCUUUGGCUGGACUCUUCUGCUUCGCCCAGGUCCCGGCUGUCUUUGGCCCAGGCUGGUGCUUGCCUCCUCUCUGCCUUUCUUUGACGCGAAAGCUCCCUUUCUACCCACUGUUUUGUCUCUUGCUGGGGCGAAGGUGAGACAAAGGAAGGCCGAGAGGGAGAUCCUGGGGGCUUCACUUCGCUUGGAGUGAAGACUGAAUUGAUUCCAAAGCUCUGAGUAGGUUAUGCAUGUUAUCAUAAAAUAAUUCUGUUGUUUUUAUGCCUCAAAAUGAUCUUAAAUAUGUAUUCAUGGGACACAACAAGUGAUUGGUUAACUUGGUGCAUUUUAGGAAACUUUACAAUAUCCAGCUCUAUGCAUACUUAUUUGAAAUUAAGUUUAAUUGUGUUGAGUUUAACUUGUUAAAACUGCAGCCGUCUUUGUCUUUAUGUACCUGAUGUUCACUGGUGGUUGAUAGUGGAUGUGAUAGUGCAAGCAAUGGGGAUGAUUAUUUAAAUAGCAGUGGCAAUGCAUACAAUUGAAGUGAUUUGUUAUCUACAUUAUUGUUAAACAAAUCUGCCUGUGGCUAAGGGAAUAGGCAAAGAUCUGGCGCAUGCCGAUCUUGUUCUCUUGCAGCUAACAUGCUUAAGUAUUUGUUGAUACAUCCGGGUGCUGAGGGAAGACAGCCCACGGUGCUGAAGAUUGGCUGCUGCUGGACUGCCAAACGUAUGCCUUAAUUCAAAUGAUGUCAUGCUGGUAGGCAGGAAAGCAAACAUGCCAUACGUUUGGUGUAUGGAUUUUAAGGAAAAGAAUAUAAUUGUUCCGCUGUUAUAAAUUUUACCUGAUAUUCUCACUUGGGGAAAGUUGUCGGUAGAAAUUGUAUGGUUGUUAGAGAAAACUGUACCUCACACUUCUUUGAAUGGAAAUUUUUCUGGUAAAAAAAGUUCCUUCUGACCUUAGAAGCCCUUUGCCACAUCAGAUUUGUUCAGCACACUAUUCAGGACAUUUAGAAUUGUGGGAAACAAACUUAUCUCAAUGACUUUUUAAGCAUUUACAAUAAAUGCUAUUGUCAAAAGGAACAAUAGAUUAUUUUUUCACAAUGUUAUUGAGGCACUCGGUCAUGAUGGCUUUUUGUAUAUAUGUAGUGUAUCUUUUGUUAUCAUCUCAGUACCCUGGCUGAUACUUUUUUAAUAUAGGAAAUCACCAGGUGGGAAUUUACAUUGAGGGAGAGGAUCCUCAUGUUAGUAUGAUGGGCUAAAUGCCUGUAAGUUGUUAAAUUCAGGAAUUGUCCUUUGGUAUUCUUGAGAAUUCUGACUAAAUGAAAAUAAUACUGCCAUUCUAGUCAGGCAACCACCCUGCCCUUUCUAUAAUCUGUUUCCUUACCAGUCUAGUCCUGAAGCAUCCUCAACUCAAAAGGAUCAAGCGGUGAAGUAUCACCUGCACAGCUCUGGUCAAAUCCUUUUAUUCUGUUGAUCAUUACUUUACUCGUAGUUUGGGUUUGUAAUGCUGACUCGGUUUGCUUUAAUAAUUGAGUCAAGAAGCCCAGGCGCCCUUUCAGUUUCAUUCCUCAGGUUCUUUUAUUCUGUAUCCACUUGAGUCUAUACAGAAUCAUUUCUCCUUUGGCCCCUUGGUGUGUAAUCCACAAUUGCCUUGCAGUC
rnacentral:lncRNA from 11 species